UGCGGGGCGGGCGCGGGGGCAGAGCGAAAGGCUUGAGGACCAGGUCGGGGCCGGGUUCCGAGUCGGGGAGCGGCUCCGGGCGGCAGCUAUGAGGCGGGACGUGCGCAUCCUGUUACUGGGCGAGGCCCAGGUGGGGAAGACGUCGCUGAUCCUGUCCCUGGUGGGCGAGGAGUUCCCCGAGGAGGUAAGGGGCACGCCCGCCGCGGGGGUGGGAGCGGGCCCAGCCGGGGGUCCCUGGUGAGCGCGCGGGUCCCUUGCAGGUCCCUCCCCGCGCGGAGGAGAUCACGAUCCCCGCGGACGUCACCCCGGAGAAGGUGCCCACCCACAUCGUGGACUACUCAGAAGCCGAGCAGACGGACGAGGAGCUGCGGGAGGAGAUCCACAAGGCAAACGUGGUGUGUGUGGUGUAUGACGUCUCUGAGGAGGCCACCAUUGAGAAGAUUCGAACUAAGUGGAUCCCACUGGUGAAUGGGGGGACCACGCGGGGGCCCAGGUAAUGAGGGGGAUGUGGAAGGGGCUGGGACUCCUGGCUCCCCUGCCCCUGGUGACCAUGGGCCUUCAACCCAGGGUGCCCAUCAUCCUAGUGGGCAACAAGUCAGACCUGCGGUCGGGGAGCUCCAUGGAGGCCGUGCUCCCCAUCAUGAGCCAGUUUCCCGAGAUUGAGACCUGCGUGGAGUGUUCGGCCAAGAACCUGAGGAACAUCUCAGAGCUGUUCUACUACGCCCAGAAGGCCGUCCUGCAUCCCA
rnacentral:sRNA from 1 species